rnacentral:lncRNA from 1 species
GCUCCUCUGUGGCUUGGGUCACUGUGGGAGCUCACUGCUAGCAGGAGACGCCCCGCCUGGAAGGGCAGGGAUCUGUGCCUGGGCUUUACCCAGAGGCCUGCUGGGCGGGGCUGGCGGCCUCCUGGGGCCUCAGCUUACCCAGCUAUAAAACUAAAGGGCUCUGCCCACUCCCUCCUUGACUCUAGCUUCUCUCUGAAAGCCUCAGGGGCAGGCCCCUGUAUACACUUCUGUGCAAGCGCGGGCACUCACUGCAGGUCUGUGGAGCAGGGAGGAAAGUGUAGGCAUCCAGGGCGGUCCCUUCUUCAGCACCGGAACCUUUUGGCCACAUUUCCUUUCCUUUUUCUUUUACUUUUAUUUGCGAAGAUGCGGCUGGCCAGUCAGCUUCCUCCUGUGUCCUCCCCACCCGCAAACACUGGAAAGCUAAGCCCGCACCUCGCAGAUCCUCUGCGCGCAGGCCGUCCUGUUCCGCUUUCAGACAGAUGAGGUUCCCUGCAGCCGAGCCCUGCCUGACUCCUAAGAGAACCCUGGUCCGAAGACAGCUGUGAGGAGCCUGGCCCGCAUUCAGGGGCGAAUUCGUGUUGCGAUCCCGGCCACCACGUCACAGGGACUGAUGUGGCUGGCUGGGUCCUUGACCUUCUGCUGUAUGCCUCACUUCUCUUCCCCUCUGGAACCCGGUUGCUCACGUCCAACCCGGAAGGGGCAGUGGCUGAGAUGGAAGGGGAGGAAAACCUGAGAGGGGACCCUGUACCUCUGGGCUCUGCAUGGUCUUCAACUCAACUUACCCCCAACAUGAAGUUCGUGCGGAAUGGAAGGUUCAAGAAGUCUCUUUUCCAGGAGACUGCAGUCUUUCUUAAUCACCAAAAGUUUGCCUUAGGGUUCAUCGAGAAGAUCCAACCAACAUUUUCAGAUGGGUGUAGGUGUGAGAGUCAGAUCUCUCCCACAUGGCUUUGAAGACCCCAGCAACAGUCAGCUUCCACGGCGUGUGGGGCUCUGGGCUUGGGUCAGAGGGCUGGCCCCAGGCUCCUGUGGGGAUACCCCGCUCCCCCACCUUUCCCCCAGGGACCCCUUUGUGGCUCCCAACAUGCUGUCCUGCAGAAAGCUAAUGUUGGCCGCAUCUGUUCCUUGGGCUGGUCAAUUCCCGUGUUAAGAAUGGGUGGCUCAGUCGGUUAAGCGUCCGACUUCGGCUCGGGUCACGAUCUCAUGGUUCGUGAGUUCGAGCCCCGCGUCGGGCUCUGUGCUGACGGGCUCGGAGCCUGGAGCCCACUUCGGAUUCUGGGUCUCCUUCUCUCUCUGCCCCUCCCCGCUCUCACUCCGUCUCUGUCUCCCUCAAAAUAAACAUUAAAACAACUUUUAAUUAAAAAAAAAA